GUGGAUUAAAAGUGCCUGUUUUACCAGAG
rnacentral:sRNA from 1 species